rnacentral:rRNA from 1 species
AUUGAACGCUGGCGGCAGGCCUAACACAUGCAAGUCGAACGCGUGGCGCACGGGUGUGUAAUGUCUGGGAAACAGCUUGAAGGAGGGGGUUAACUACUGGAACCGGUAGCUAUUCCCGCAUACCAUUGGAUGUGCCCAGAGUGCAUUAGCCAGUAGGUGGGGUAAAGGCUCACCAAGGCCACGAUCCCUAGCUGGUCUGAGAGGAUGACCAGCCACACUGGAACUGAGACACGGUCCAGACUCCUACGGGAGGCAGCAGUGGGGAAUAUUGCACAAUGGGCGAAAGCCUGAUGCAGCCAUGCCGCGUGUAUGAAGAAGGCCUUCGGAUUGUAAAGUACUUUCAGCGGGGAGGCGUUACCCGCAGAGGAAGCACCGGCUAACUCCGUGCCAGCAGCCGCGGUAAUUC